CAGCCGCCGCGGUAAUACAGAGGGUGCGAGCGUUAAUCGGAUUUACUGGGCGUAAAGCGUGCGUAGGCGGCUUCUUAAGUCGGAUGUGAAAUCACUGAGCUUAACUUAGGAAUUGCAUUCGAUACUGGGAAGCUAGAGUAUGGGAGAGGAUGGUAGAAUUCCAGGUGUAGCGGUGAAAUGCGUAGAGAUCUGGAGGAAUACCGAUGGCGAAGGCAGCCAUCUGGCCUAAUACUGACGCUGAGGUACGAAAGCAUGGGGAGCAAACAGGAUUAGAUACCCCCGUAGUCCCUGUCUCUUAUAA
rnacentral:rRNA from 1 species